GAUGAAGAACGUAGCGAAAUGCGAUAAGUAAUGUGAAUUGCAGAAUUCAGUGAACCAUCGAAUCUUUGAACGCACAUUGCGCCCGCCAGUAUUCUGGCGGGCAUGCCUGUCCGAGCGUCAUCUCAACCCUCGAGCCCCCCCGGGGGCUCGGCGUUGGGGACCGGCCCCGCCCCAGGGCGCGCCGCCCCCCAAAUCCAGUGGCGGUCCCGCCGCAGCCUCCCCUGCGCAGUAGCUUGCACACUCACACCGGAGAGCGGCGCGGCCACGCCGUAAAACCCCCCGACCACGGAGCCCCGGCUCCUGAACGUUGACCUCGGAUCAGGUAGGAAUACCCGCUGAACUUAAGCAUAUCAAUAAGCGGAGGA
rnacentral:misc_RNA from 1 species